UCUAAUACCGGAUAAUACUCCUGCCUGCAUGGGCGGGGGUUGAAAGCUCCGGCGGUGAAGGAUGAGCCCGCGGCCUAUCAGCUUGUUGGUGGGGUAAUGGCCCACCAAGGCGACGACGGG
rnacentral:rRNA from 2 species